AUUGUGUAUGCAGCGUGUGACGUCAUGUUGUACUGUUUCAUUAUUUAUAUCAAGUGGCUGUGAGGGGAGAUUCCGUGGGGGGCGUAACCAACCCGGGAUUUCCAAAUUUAAAAAAAACAAUGACGUCAGAGAGGCAGGGAGGAAGAGGAGACAGCUCCGCAGAAAAAGCGCUGUGCCUCAUCAUCAUCAUCAUCAUCAUCCUCCUCAACUGUUUGAAGGUGCAGCGAAUCUCACGAGGAAGCAUCAGUCCGCUUCCGGCUCGUGUUCCCGCCGCUUUAGCAAAGCAACCAGCGGGAAGGAGCCAGCAUUCAAGCUGCAGAAGCUGCAGCAUGAGCCGGUCAGUGCGUCAGCAGACCCCCGCUGUCUGCUCCGGAGCUCCUGGUUGUUGUCGGGACAGUGCGGGUCCUUCGCAGCAUAGAACCAAGCAACAUCUGGAGGGGGUGCUGAAGAAAUACACCAAUAUAUUCCAGGGCUGGCAGGACAGGUAUUUCGUUCUUGACCCCGACGUUGGCCAGCUUGACUAUUAUCGAAAUGAACACAGCAAAAGCCAACAACUUUGUAGAGGGUCCAUGCCUCUACUGGGAGUGUUGGUGGUCUCCUGUAAAGACUUCCCUUACAUGUUUGCUCUUCAGUCCUCAACUGGCCAGUCCUAUAAACUCAGAGCAUCCAGUGCUGAUGAACAGGAAUUAUGGAUGACUCAGCUCCAGCUGUGUUCUCGAUGCCACUCUGACAAUGGUGCUAAGGUGAUGAACGAGGCACAAGGGGAACCCAAGAGCCUGGUCCACUCGAAUGAAACUCUGCCCCCAAGAGUUGGACCCCUCUGCUCUCUGAAUGAGGAGAUCCUCCUUUUUAAAGCCACUUCCGCAGCCACUUUGAGUUGCUUGGGAGAGUGCUUCACUUUGCUACACCACAAUGUUGUCCGCUCCCACAACCAGAACCAGAAUCACCGUUCAGUGGGUGCAACGGAGACAGCCUCGGCAGACAGACUCAAGUCCUGGAAUAAGCACUGCAGCUCCAGUGUGAAUGAGGUGGAACCUGGUAGCCGCAAGUCCAGCAGCCAAAGCCCGAGUCACUCGGUUAGUGAGAACCAAAGUCCCAAACGCUGCAGCUUUGCUGGAAAAGAAGAAAAGGACUACAACCACAUCCAGAGUCAUGCAGAGAGUUCAGUUGGAUGGUUCAAAUCUCCUAAGAAGCAGACGACCAACGAUGCAUCCCAACCGCUCACGUACAACAACCAAGCUGAGCAGCAGACCAACAGUCCGGACGAUGUGGAUCCCAGUGACGAGACCACAGACACAGAGGACAACGACGAGGAGGACCUGGGUGUUCUUGAUGAACAGCGAAGCAUCAUCCGCCAUCUCCUCUCCCAACUCAAGCUUGGCAUGGACCUCACAAAGGUGGUGCUCCCUACGUUCAUACUAGAGAAGCGCUCCCUGCUGGAGAUGUAUGCUAACUUCAUGGCUCACCCCGACAUGUUUCUCUCAAUCACCGUUGGUUGCACGCCGGAGGAGCGCAUCGUCCGCUUUGUUGAGUACUAUCUCACUGCCUUCCAUGAGGGCCGCAAAGGGGCGGUGGCCAAAAAGCCCUACAACCCCAUCCUGGGCGAGACCUUCCACUGCUCUUGGCAUGUUCCUCAGGACCGCGUUCGCUCUCUCAGAGCUGCUAGUCGUACGGCUCCCGUCUCGGCAACAACGUCAAACUUCUCACAAAAGGCGCCAGGCGGUUGCGGCGGAACAAACACUGACUUUUAUCAGGUUCGGUUUGUGGCUGAGCAGGUGUCCCACCACCCACCUGUAUCAGGCUUUUACUGUGAGUGCAGGGAGAAGAGGAUGUGUGUUAAUACUUACGUCUGGACCAAGAGCAAGUUCAUGGGCAUGUCUGUUGGAGUUUCAAUGGUCGGACAAGGUGUUCUGCAUCUGUCAGAGCAUGAUGAAGACUACGUGUUCACACUGCCUUGUGCCCACGCUCGUUCUAUUCUGGCUGUGCCCUGGGUGGAGCUUGGGGGAAAGGUCACAAUCAGUUGUGCCAAAACAGGCUACUCAGCCACAGUCAUCUUUCACACCAAACCUUUCUACGGAGGGAAAGUCCACAGAGUAACAGCUGAAGUAAAGCACAAUCAGACAGGAAACAUUGUGUGUAAAGCGCAGGGUGAGUGGAACGGGGUCCUGGAGUUUACUUACGGAAAUGGAGAAAACAAGACGAUUGAUACCUCAAAACUCCCGGUCAUCAAAAAGAAGAUCAGACCAGUAGAGAAGCAGGAACAGAAUGAGUCACGGCGCCUUUGGCAGCACGUGACGGCAUCUCUUCGGGCAGGAAACAUGGAUGAAGCCACGGAACACAAACACCGCCUUGAAGAGAGACAGCGGAGCUCAGGCAAACAGAGAGCUGCCAGCAAAACUCCUUGGAAGCCCAAAUAUUUCAUCAAAGAGGUGAGGAAGAAACAAUGAACCCAGGAAGGAAGUUCCUGUCAAGCUUAAAACUAUCGAAAUACAGCAUAAAAAACUAAUUGAACCCUGGUGUCCAAGCUGUGAGGUCUGCGUGCUAACCACUCGACCGCCGUGCAGCCCAAUUUAUGGAUAUAAAACCAUAAAACUUUGCUGGAUGUUUCAAUAGCGGGCAUUGUAGCCAGAAUAGGUGUGUCCCAUUAUGUGCAUUAACGAGCUGCCUCGUUAUCUUUUUUUUAUAUCAUUAGAAAAGAAAAAGACAUGCGUGUUUAUGGCUCAUAGAAUAGAAUAAUAUAGUAUACCUUUAUUGUUAUAGUACACGCUUUGCCACUAUACAUUUCUAGAUGUUGGCAGGGCUGCACUAAAAUGGCGCCCCAGACAGUUCCCCGUGCCACCCCGCAAGGACCCACCCCACAAUUUGAGAAGCACUGCUUUAGUGCAUCUUCAGUGCACUUAUGGAUCCACAAUAAAGAUUGUAGAUGAUGGACAAAAUUCCAAAAAAGGUGCAAUUUUUUUUUUGACCUCACCUUGAGUUGAAGUUUUAGAUUAACUUCUUAAAGUCUGGUCUUAAAAGACUUACUAGUGUUUUUAGGUCCGCCCCCCCUAUUUUUUUGGGUUAAUGUCGAUGUCGAAUUCACACCAUAAUUUUAACUUGGUGACGACCUCAAUUCGAGAUGUUGUGGAUCGGUGAAAGGAAUACUUACAAAUACAAAGACCUUCAAUCCCAUCGAUACGUCUUCCAAUGAGGAAGCAGUGCCUGGGACACCACAGUGGGCUCUUCAGAUGCUGAAGUUGUCAAAAAGCUCCUCGGUGGAUGAGAUCCGCCCAGAGUUCCUUAAGGCCCUGUGGGCGUGUCUUGGUUGACAUGGCUCUGCAGCAUCGUGUGGACAUCGGGGGCCGUACCUCUGGAUUAGCGGAUCGGGUGAUGGUCCUCCUUUUUUAGGGGGACCGAAGGAAGGGUGUGUUCCAACUAUCGUGGAAUCACACUCCUCAGCCUCCCUGGUAAGGUCUAUUCAGGGGAUCCGUCGGGUAGUUGAAUCUUGGAAACGGAAAUAAUCUGAUCAGGUUCUAACUUUUUGGGGGGGCGUCGCAGACAUCAAAGACACCAGAGUACUCUCUGGUCAAUUUAAUAAUAAUAAACAUGAAUGUGAAUCUAUGAAGUGAAAGGGCACCAAAAAAAACCCACCAAAAUCUACAACACCAUGGCAAAUACGGCUAUUAUUUACUAGAACUUCCUGUAUACAAGGCUAGAUGGAUUGGAUCAGGACUGCAGCCGCAACGGAUCCAGUGUGAGCCCGGGGUAAAAACCAUUUGAUUUGGCCACAUGCAAUGUUGUUGCGAUCUCGGAUGGGUUUGUUUUGUUUUUUUUCAGCCUCCAUGGUUUGCUCCUUAAAAAUAUAAUACAGUAUCAUCAGUGUUUUGUUUUGUUUGUUCAAUGACUGUUGUAACUCCCUCGGAUGUGCAACGAUCAGACAGCAACUAGUUCUUGUGUUUUACUCGUGGAUUUAUUGCAAAAACAACGGGAGAACUAAAAGGGUGUUCAAACGGAUACAUUCAUUCAUUUUCUACCGCUUACAAAAUACAAUAAAUUACUGGUCACAUAAUACACAAGUAUACAAUAACAUUAUGUCUACAAAUUCGUUUUCUUAUCAUUAAACUCUUUCUUUACAAUAGUGCAAAAAAACUUGCCACAUCACAUACAUCACAUACACAUGUGCAACACACUCAUUAGCAUUAACAUUAGCUGGCACAACAAACUGUAAACUAAGACACUAAGAGACUGAAACGGAAAUAAAACAAUGCACAUAUACUGCACCUUAAUGGCUGCACACAUACCUUAGUGCGGAAUUAGAGAGAUGAUCUUUGACUUUUAGCACCUGUUAGCUUUUGCGCUCUAAAUUAGCGUGGCGAACAACGGAGCUCAUUUUCUAUGGGUGUAACGAUUAAACGUGCACGUGCGGAAACGACGAUUUUACAGAAAAUUUGUUCCGCCUCUUUAACUCAUAUACACCUAGGUAGGAACCAAAAACGAAAAUAGGUAGGAACUUAAAACUGACGAAGGUGCACAUAAAUACAUAGACGGGCAAAUUUUGUUUGUUGUAAAUGUAAAAUCAGAAAUACAGUAUAUGUACUGCACAAGCAACUAGAUUUUUCACUCCUGUGUGUGUGUGUGUAUUUAGGGUGAAGGUUGGGUGUACCACAACCCGCUCUGGAACCUUGAAAGCAGACCUCCUCCAUCUCUGACAACAAGUGGAACAAGUGGAGUGAUCACAGGGGACGACUAAAACACCAAUGAAUAGAAUCCAACUUUCCAUCAGCUAAUUCAAUUGGGAGGUGAUGAUUAAAAGGUGUUUUGUUUUGGGGGUUUUUUCUGACCACACGGGGGCCCCUUCCAUCAUCUAUUGUUCCCUGGACAACGUACUGACAACAAUGUCUUAUAAUGACUGUACAGUAAUGUACAGAGCGGUGUAUAGAAAUGUACUAAACAGGUAAUGAGAGGUGGAAAAACUGGUGUUGCAUUAUUCGUUUUGUUGCCAGCACUUUGGACAUGAGCUGACAUGUGUUGAGUUCUUCUGAGGGAACUGCUAAUUUCUAUACAAGCUGUACACUGACUACUUUACAUUAUAUCCAAGCGUACCAUGAAAAGUAAUAUAAUAAAAUAUUUACACAAAUUUUAGGGAUGUACUCACUUUUUUUAAACACAUCUUUGAUUUUUUUUUAAAACACCAUAAAGAUAACUAAGAGAAC